GCUCCUGCUCCUGCCGUCUGGACAAAGGGCUCACCCGUUGCCAUCUCAGACACCAGAGGCUCCCACUUGACCAGGGGAAGCUGUUCAUGUUCUAUCCUGCGUGUUCUUGAGAAAGUUUUGAUGACAGAAAACAUCACACAGAAGGGGCAGGCAUCACAAGUUUCCAGCUCCAUGGAUUUUUGCAAACUGAGCACAUUUGUGGGCCAGGAGUGGGGCCCACAGCGAGAAUAUCCUUCCUGCUGCUCCUGCCGUCCAUCCAUCAGCACAGCCAGUUCCUGGCUGUGGAACACACAGAGCUGUGCACUGUUGAGUUUACCGCGAUGAGAACAGUGAGUGUCUUUCAUCUGGCUGCAGUUGCUGGAGGCACUGCCUGCUCUGGCCUCCUCGCUCUGGAACAUUCCCUGCUGAACAAUGACACCAGGGAAGGCCAAGGAUGGGCACACAAGGCUCAGUCCUUCACCUGAUGGUGGCUUGGCCAUGUUUAUCUUUCCCUUUUCUCAAAGACCUGUGUGGGGCCAGAGAGAGCUGGGGUU
rnacentral:lncRNA from 1 species